rnacentral:lncRNA from 1 species
CAACUUUUUGUUCUUCUAGGCAGCAGUUUGCAUUGACUGUCCCUAGUCCUUGUUCCUCAUUUCCUAGCUCUAUUCCUAUGUGACCCAUAGUAUCUAUUUAAGUUACCUAUUGAAUAAUUGACAUUUUCUAGGUGUUGCAUCCACCGCUGUUUAUUUUUUUGGAAAUGAUAAAAGCAUGAUAAUACAAUUCAUUUUAAGUUAAAAGUGUUUUGACGUCAUCUGCAUUUUUUUUUCCUAAAAGUUCGCUGCAUGCAAUCAAUUCAGUGAUGCAGAGGAUGGAUACAGAAUAUGACAAUAUUGUUAGUGGUCGAGGACUGCUGCAGUUGUGCAUGAGGAUCUUCAGGAGCGGAAGAGGGGCAUGGAGCUGAAGGGUAGUCCACAGUGACUGCAAAGAUCAGCCCUGUUCAACAGAAGAUUUUAGAAUGCAGAAAUAUAUACUGAGGUCUACACAAUAGUAACUCCGUUAAUACAAACAAAGUCUGGCAACUGGCUUGCCAUUGACAAGAAGAGUAGAAAGACUGUUAUUUACUUCUUUUGCCCAGAUUAAGUCAAAUGUCUGAUACCAUCUUCAUGAUUUGGAAGACGAAAUCACAUGAAUUGUUCAUUCUGCU